rnacentral:rRNA from 1 species
UACAGAGGUCUCAAGCGUUGUUCGGAUUCAUUGGGCGUAAAGGGUGCGUAGGCGGCGCGGUAGGUCGGGUGUGAAAUUUCGAGGCUUAACUUCGAAACUGCAUUCGAUACUGCCGUGCUUGAGGACUGGAGAGGAGACUGGAAUUUACGGUGUAGCGGUGAAAUGCGUAGAUAUCGUAAGGAAGACCAGUGGCGAAGGCGGGUCUCUGGACAGUUCCUGACGCUGAGGCACGAAGGCCAGGGGAGCAAACGGG